UUUUUCCAAACUAUGUACUAUACAUGUGGAUUUUUUUUUGCGGGGAUACUGUAUGUCCACUUCUGAGUACAAAUUCUAAAUUCGUAUAUGAAACCUUAAUUCAACUCCUACCAUACAAAACUAAUUUUGUGGUUCAAUUGUUUAAGAGCUCAAAUAGGAUGUGUACUGGAACCUCAAGGAAAAUGAAAAGAAGAGCAGGAGCAGGAGCUGGAGACGCAGCCGCACAAGGUCGAACCGGCCACAUAGAUCCUUUUAUUCUGCAACUAUGACAACUGUGGCAAGACCUUUGUUGAUGUGGCUGCCUUGAGGAAGCAUGCUCAUGUACAUGGUGAGAGGGGAUGUAUUUUUUUCAGUAGCCCGGCUAUUGGAAGUAAUUCCAGGCUUUUUAUAAAGGACCUUUCUCUGUUUGGCAUAGAUUAAUGAUUUUGGUACAUCCAUCCAUCCAAUCCAGAUGCCGCUGAUGAACAAAUAGUGAUCCAGUUUGGUCGGAUUAGAUAUAAGUUUGGGCCC